rnacentral:rRNA from 1 species
CCUACGCGGGGCAGCAGUGGGGGAUAUUGCACAAUGGGGGGAACCCUGAUGCAGCGACGCCGCGUGGGUGAAGAAGCGCCUCGGCGCGUAAAGCCCUGUCAGCAGGGAAGAAAAUGACGGUACCUGAAGAAGAAGCCCCGGCUAACUACGUGCCAGCAGCCGCGGGAAUACGUAGGGGGCAAGCGUGAUCCGGAUUUACUGGGUGUAAAGGGGGCGCAGACGGCGAUGCAAGCCAGGAGUGAAAGCCCGGGGCCCAACCCCGGGACUGCUCUUGGCACUGCGUGGCUGGAGUGCAGGAGGGGCAGGCGGAAUUCCUGGUGUAGCGGUGAAAUGCGUAGAUAUCAGGAGGAACACCGGUGGCGAAGGCGGCCUGCUGGACUGCAACUGACGUUGAGGCCCGAAAGCGUGGGGAGCAAACAGGAUUAGAUACCCCAGUAGUC